AACGAACGCUGGCGGCAUGCCUAACACAUGCAAGUCGAACGAGACCUUCGGGUCUAGUGGCGCACGGGUGCGUAACGCGUGGGAACCUGCCCUUAGGUUCGGAAUAACUCCUCGAAAGGGGUGCUAAUACCGGAUAAUGUCCUCGGACCAAAGAUUGAUCUCCUUUGGAUGGGCCCGCGUUGGUUUAGCUAGUUGGUAGGGGAAAAGCCUACCAAGGCUACGAUCCAUAGCUGGUCUGAGAGGAUGCUCAGCCACACUGGGACGGAGACACGGCGCAGACUCCUACGGGAGGCGGCAAAGGGGAAUAUAGGACAAUGGGCGAAAUCCAGAACCAGCAAUGCCGGGUGAGUGAUUAAGGCCUGAGAGUUGUAAAGCUCUUUUACCCGGGAUUAUAAUGACAGUACCGAAAGAAUAAGCUCCGGCUAACUCCGUG
rnacentral:rRNA from 1 species